CCUACGGGAGGCAGCAGUAGGGAAUUUUCGUCAAUGGGCGCAAGCCUGAACGAGCAAUGCCGCGUGAAUGAGGAAGGUCUUCGGAUCGUAAAGUUCUGUUGAAGGGGAAAAAGAGCGGAGUGAGUAAAUGAACUCCGAUUGAUAUUACCCUUCGAGGAAGUCCCGUCUAACUACGUGCCAGCAGCCGCGGUAAUACGUAGGUGGCGAGCGUUAUCCGGAAUGAUUGGGCGUAAAGGGUGCGUAGGCGGCCUGCGAAGUCUGAAGUGAAAGGUACCGGCUCAACCGGUACAGGCUCUGGAAACUGGCGGGCUAGAGAGAAGGGGAGGGCGGUGGAACUCCAUGUGUAGCGGUAAAAUGCGUAGAUAUAUGGAAGGACACCAGUGGCGAAGGCGGCCGCCUGGCAUGUUGACUGACGCUGAGGCACGAAAGCGUGGGGAGCAAAUAGGAUUAGAUACCCUUGUAGUC
rnacentral:rRNA from 1 species